UAUAAAAUAUAUAAAUAUUUAUUGUAUUAUACAAUUUAAUGAAUAAUAAUUAUAUAGAUUUUUACAUUGGUGUGAGGUGGUUUUAACAGAUGUUUUUUUUACAGUAUAUAAUAAUAAUAAUACUUAUUAUUAUUAUCAUAUAAUCCCAAAUGUCCAAUGAGUUGAUGGAUCUUUCGGUCAUUAUAUCUUUAACUCAGUAUAUCGAUUUUCCGCUCAUUAUCUUCCAUUCACUCUCCCUGCAGAUGUGUGACAUCCGCUGCUCGCAUGAUGACGAACCUGUUGAAUCAUUCACCCCCGCUCAUUCAUAAAUGAUUCUUGACCAAGAGAAUUCCAGAAAAACAGACAGGUAGGAGAGAAAAGGAGCAUGAUGGAUGCUCUGUGUGCGAUUCAGAAGAGGGUUACAGCACUGCAGCGGUUCCUGUAACGGCAGUGGUCAGGCUAAACACCCCCAUCCAAUCCAUCAGCUUUCAUUCAUCCUUCACCCAUCCUUCCAUUCACACAAUCAAAGCAGUGGGGAGGGUGGGAUGGAGAGAGAGACACUGUGAUAGAGAGAGCAUCCGCUUCUGCAGAAAACACGGGGGGAAGGGGCGGAGGAGAAGGAGAGAGAGUAUCGUGCCAUCGGAGAAGAACGAAGAGCAUCAGAGAGAGAGAGAGAGGGCAGGGAGGAAGGUGCACUUCUCUCCGAUUGCAGCACUUUCUCUGUCAUAUUGUUAAGGUGUCUGUUCGACUCCAUCUCAUUCUGUCUCUCUUACACACACACUCACACAGCGAAAUUGUCUGUGAAAUCCAGCAGCAUCAUCGGGACAGACUCGUGGCAUCAGUGCAGCGCUGAUAUCAUCAGUCAACUGUGACAAUAAUAACAACCUGGACCAGGGAAGACACCACACAGGUAUGACCACAUGCACAGAUGCCCAUGUACACACACAUGUGCUCGUCAGGCAACAGAUAUCACAGAUUUAUGCUGUCGUAAUUGCUUCAGGCAACACAGAUCACAAUCAUGUUUUCACCUUUUUGUCCAUCUGUCAGGCAUCACGCUGGGGUCCGCAGAGUGCGCGGGCCGGCCAGAGGCCAUGAGGCUGGUCCAUAAUGCAGAGAAACAGUCUUUCUCCUUUAAGAAGUGCUCUGCCUUCCAGUUUGUCAAGAGGAAGGUGCGCAGGUGGAUGAGGAAUCCGAAGGUGAAUGUGGAGAAGGUCCAGGCUAAGGGCUUCUUGUCUCCAUGUCCGAAAUGUCAGGAGGGCCAGGACCUGUGGUACACACAUUUCCCAGCACCUUACGGCUGCUGCCACUACAGUCCUGGAGGAUACUGCCUCUCUCACCCCCCCAGCCCUCUCUGUCAGCCCUGUGCCCCAUGCACACCCUGCCAGCCGGACAAGAACAAGACAUGCAAGGUGAGGAAAUGGAAGAUGCUCAGUCGCCAUCACAAUGAUAAUAAGGUGAAGGAGGCAGAAUCAGAGGGGCAUGUGAUCUGCCCCUGGACGAUGUCACCCCUGCUGGGAAGCCCCGUACUGCAGGAAUGUUGCAUCUGCAACGGACCCUUCAUCACUUACGGGCAUGAGGAGGCAUGGCAACCACGUCAGCGCACAAAGGUCAGCACACAAACAAACGUCUCAUGCAAAAAUGUAUGAGUAGCAUUGUGUUAGACAACAAAAUUAUACCAUACAAUAUAAAGAAAUACAGCACAAAGCAAAUCAUAAAACAAUAUAUAAUUAGAUGCUUUCUGGUUGUCGAACAUGGUGAAACAUGCCAAAUUUAUUGAAAUUUGUACACAUUUUCCAUUCAUCUUAAUUCUUUCUGGUCUGAAUUUAAUUUUAUCCACUUAGCUGUUUACACAAGAUAAAAGAGCAGUGAGACACAUGGGCCGGGAAAGCUUAGCGUAGGUGCACGUGCAAAGAUGUUAAUACUAUCCCUCACAUAUUUCAGCAUUCUGUUAGCCAGCUCUGCAGGGAGUUUAUUAAAGAAGUGGAUUUGGGUAAUUGCUCUUUCUGUCGUUCUCUCUCUUUCAAGCUCUCUCUCAUUCUCUCUCACUUCAUACAGAAAGCUUUAGGUUUACGGUGCUAAACUGUAAGCCAGAUGUCAUAUGAUUUCAUUUUUUGCAAGCUGUAGAUUAAGACCAAUGUGACACUCCAUCUGAAAGUCACAAUUUCACUGUGAUGAGUGUGCAUGCAUGAUAAAACUGUUUGAAAGUGUUCCACUGACUCAUGUGACUCUGUAAAUCUAAAGCCCAUUAUUAAUAAAGUAAAGUCAUAAUUCUAAUAUUCA
ensembl:lncRNA